UUGACUUAGCGGCGGACGGGUGAGUAACGCGUGGGUAACCUGCCUUACACUGGGGGAUAACAGUUAGAAAUGACUGCUAAUACCGCAUAAGCGCACAGGGCCGCAUGGUCCGGUGUGAAAAACUCCGGUGGUGUAAGAUGGACCCGCGUCUGAUUAGGUAGUUGGUGGGGUAACGGCCCACCAAGCCGACGAUCAGUAGCCGACCUGAGAGGGUGACCGGCCACAUUGGGACUGAGACACGGCCCAA
rnacentral:rRNA from 1 species